rnacentral:rRNA from 1 species
ACGGAGGGUGCAAGCGUUAUUCGGAUUUACUGGGCGUAAAGGGCGCGUAGGCGGUCUGAUAAGUCAGAUGUGAAAGCCCGAGGCUCAACCUCGGAAGUGCAUCUGAAACUAUCAGACUUGAGUAUGGGAGAGGGAAGUGGAAUUCCUGGUGUAGCGGUGAAAUGCGUAGAUAUCAGGAGGAACACCGGUGGCGAAGGCGACUUCCUGGACCAAUACUGACGCUGAGGCGCGAAGGCGUGGGGAGCAAACAGG